AUUGAACGCUGGCGGCAGGCCUAACACAUGCAAGUCGAGCGGAUGAAGGGAGCUUGCUCCUGGAUUCAGCGGCGGACGGGUGAGUAAUGCCUAGGAAUCUGCCUGGUAGUGGGGGAUAACGUCCGGAAACGGGCGCUAAUACCGCAUACGUCCUGAGGGAGCAAGUGGGGGAUCUUCGGACCUCACGCUAUCAGAUGAGCCUAGGUCGGAUUGGCUAGUUGGUGGGGUAAGGCCUACCAAGGCGACGAUCCGUAACUGGUCUGAGAGGAUGAUCAGUCACACUGGAACUGAGACACGGUCCAGACUCCUACGGGAGGAAGCAGUGGGGAAUAUUGGACAAUGGGCGAAAGCCUGAUACAGCAAAGCCGCGUGUGUGAAGAAGGUCUUCGGAUUGUAAAGCACUUUAAGUUGGGAGGAAGGGAAGUAAGUUAAUACCUUGCUGUUUUGACGUUACCAACAGAAUAAGCACCGGCUAACUUCGUG
rnacentral:rRNA from 1 species